ACAAAUGAUUUGGUUUUAUACCAAAACACUGUGUGCAUUUAUAUCUGUCUCUGGUUGUAUGGUGUUUCUUUCUGUCCGUUGCAAGUAAAGUUGCAAUGGCUGAAAGUCACCGACAACCAAACGUUUGAACAAACUUUUGUAUUUUUUUUUUGUCUGAAUCAUUCACUUUUGUGCAAUGAAAAAA
rnacentral:misc_RNA from 1 species